AAACUGCGAAUGGCUCAUUAAAUCAGUUAUCGUUUAUUUGAUAGUACCUUACUACUUGGAUAACCGUGGUAAUUCUAGAGCUAAUACAUGCUAAAAACCCCGACUUCGGGAGGGGUGUAUUUAUUAGAUAAAAAACCAAUGCCCUUCGGGGCUCUUUGGUGAUUCAUGAUAACUUAACGGAUCGCAUGGCCUUGCGCCGGCGACGGUUCAUUCAAAUUUCUGCCCUAUCAACUUUCGAUGGUAAGGUAUUGGCUUACCAUGGUUUCAACGGGUAACGGGGAAUUAGGGUUCGAUUCCGGAGAGGGAGCCUGAGAAACGGCUACCACAUCCAAGGAAGGCAGCAGGCGCGCAAAUUACCCAAUCCCGACUCGGGGAGGUAGUGACAAUAAAUACUGAUACAGGGCUCUUUUGGGUCUUGUAAUCGGAAUGAGUACAAUUUAAACCCCUUAACGAGGAACAAUUGGAGGGCAAGUCUGGUGCCAGCAGCCGCGGUAAUUCCAGCUCCAAUAGCGUAUAUUAAAGUUGUUGCAGUUAAAAAGCUCGUAGUUGAACCUUGGGCCUGGCUGGCCGGUCCGCCUCACCGCGUGUACUGGUCCGGCCGGGCCUUUCCUUCUGGAGAGCCGCAUGCCCUUCACUGGGUGUGUCGGGGAACCAGGACUUUUACUUUGAAAAAAUUAGAGUGUUCAAAGCAGGCCUUUGCUCGAAUACGUUAGCAUGGAAUAAUAGAAUAGGACGUGCGGUCCUAUUUUGUUGGUUUCUAGGACCGCCGUAAUGAUUAAUAGGGAUAGUCGGGGGCAUCAGUAUUCAAUUGUCAGAGGUGAAAUUCUUGGAUUUAUUGAAGACUAACUACUGCGAAAGCAUUUGCCAAGGAUGUUUUCAUUAAUCAGUGAACGAAAGUUAGGGGAUCGAAGACGAUCAGAUACCGUCGUAGUCUUAACCGUAAACUAUGCCGACUAGGGAUCGGGCGAUGUUUCUAUCUUGACUCGCUCGGCACCUUACGAGAAAUCAUAAGUUUUUGGGU
rnacentral:rRNA from 1 species